rnacentral:rRNA from 1 species
GAUGAACGCUGGCGGCGUGCCUAAUACAUGCAAGUCGAGCGAACGGACGAGAAGCUUGCUUCUCUGAUGUUAGCGGCGGACGGGUGAGUAACACGUGGAUAACCUACCUAUAAGACUGGGAUAACUUCGGGAAACCGGAGCUAAUACCGGAUAAUAUUUUGAACCGCAUGGUUCAAAAGUGAAAGACGGUCUUGCUGUCACUUAUAGAUGGAUCCACGCUGCAUUAGCUAGUUGGUAAGGUAACGGCUUACCAAGGCAACGAUGCAUAGCCGACCUGAGAGGGUGAUGGGCCACACUGGAACGGAGACACGGUCCAGACUCCUACGGGGGGCAGCAGUAGGGAAUUUUCCGCAAUGGGCGAAAGCCUGACGGAGCAACGCCGCGUGGGUGAUGAAGGUCUUCGGAUCGUAAAACUCUGUUAUGAGGGAAAAACAUAUGUGUAAGUAACUGUGCACAUCUUGACGGUACCUAAUCAGAAAGCCACGGCUAACUACGU